GGUUAAAGUACAAUAGGACAAGAGGACUUGACAAUGGUCUGUAGUAUUUGCCCAUGGAUACUUUUGUUCUGAGGGUCAAAUUCAAGGAAGAGAGCAGCAUUAUUGCUCCAGCUCCCAAGGCAUCUACAUUCUGUCUGUGGGGAGCCAUUUUAAUUGAAACUAAUACUACUAGGGCAGAAAAAAUGAAACAAUGAACAACAUCUUCCCUAUUUUAUUUAACACAAAUGCAUUCUCUUUAGAACACUGGCUCCAACUCUCCUAAUGCUACAUCACUUUCAUAUCAUUUAAAGUACUCUUAUGCAAGCAGACUCUCGUGAAGACAAAAGAAGGGUGUCUCACUCCUGAGACCACUGAAAAGACAUUUUCUUAUGGUUUUUAGCAACCCCUCUGAGAAGUUCAUUCCACCCUCAAAGGUGUUGCUACCCAAGCUUUAAAACAUUGCUCUACUAUUCAUUUUAUGUUGCAAGUUUGCAGAAAAUAUUAAUGUGUUCAGCACACUUUUGCCAGAGAUAUUUUCUGGGAGAUGCCACAUAUAUAUUCAUCUACCCAUCCCAAGUGGAAAAUGGCAACAACCAAGUUCAACUCGUUAAACCAAUGAGAGUUAUUGUUGUUACACACAGGACUUAGGGGAAGCAGUUAGUAAAUGAGAGCACGAGGGACUCAAAGACAAUUGCUAUCCUGAAACUGAAAAGCAGCAUAAGAUACAGAUAAUGAAUACUGGACACUGGUAACAAACCUCAUACAUGUAGGCAUCUCUACAGGAUAAAGAGCACCCUAUCUUUGUGGCUCAGUUUGUCAAAUCCUCUUUUAAGAAGUAUAAUUUGAGUAUGUUCAUUUGAGUUAAACAUAUAGAAUGCUGUCAGUUUCAUUAGCUAUUUUGAGGCAUGUAUUUCGUAGCUUCUCUUUGAAGUAGAUCAAUUCAGUCUCCAGGAAAGUUUAUAAAACUCCAUAUGCUUUAAGCUUCUCCAUCAUGACAUAUUUAAAAGUGAACAAGUAAAAACUUUUAAUGAAAGAUUUCCUUCAUUGCUGUAUUUUCCAUUUCUCUGAGCAUAAAUGCUGGGUCGCUCCUAAGAUUUGAGGAUUACUUAAAUGUUUUCCCAACUUCCUCACAUAUAUAAUAAUUCUCUAGUGUGGAGCUUCAAGUGUUGCCAACAAUACCGCUGGAAUAAAGCACAUGCCAUAGUUUUUCCAGUGGACGCUUUUUUUCUGAAUAUAAAUAAGCAGGUAUUUUCUUAGGUCUGAGAUUUGGGUAAAGACCUUUCCUCAUAUAUCAAAUUCGUAAGUUUUUUUUUUUUAAUCCUGAAUGCAUUCUUUGAUGUAUUUUAAGUGGUGAACCAACACUGAAGGAUAUGAACAUUUACUAUAUAUAUAAGUUCCUUCUCCUAUAUGUAGUCUCUGAUGAAUUCUAAGAUGGUUUUCUUUGGGAAUGGAUUUUUUUCAUUCACUUCAUUUGUGAAGGUGUCUACUGUAUGCAUUCUCUGAUAAGUGACUGUUUUUGGCUAAAGCAUUUGUCAUAUUCAUUAUAUUUUUAAGAUUUUUUUCUGCAUGAAUUCUCUGAUGAAUUUUAAGACUGCUUUUGCAGGUAAAGCAUUUGUCACAUUCACUAUAUUUGUAAGGCUUCUCUCCUGUAUGAAUUCUCUAAUGAAGAUGACAAUUGAAUUUUUAGGUAAAGCACAUGUUACAUUCAUAUCUGUAAGGUUCUUUCUCCUGUAUGAAUUCUCUGAUGUUUUCUAAGAUCACCUUUAUGGGAAAAGCAUUUGUCACAUUCACUACAUUUGUAAGGUUUCUCUCCUGUAUGAACUCUCUGGUGCACAUUAAGACUGCUUUUUCGGGUAAAGUACUUGUCACAUUCACUACAUUUGUAAGGUUUCUCUCCUGUAUGAAUUCUCUGAUGAAUUAUAAGACUUCCUUUUUGGGUAAAGUAUUUGCCACAUUUACUACAUUUGUAUGGUUUUUCUCCUGUAUGAAUAAUCCGAUGACACCUGAGCCUGGCAUUCAGGGCAAAAGAUUUGUCACAUUCACUACAUUUGUAAGGCUUAUUAGCUGAAUGUAUUCUCUGAUGAGUUCUAAGACAAUAUUUGUUGGUAAAGCAUUUGUUACAUUCACUGCAUUUGUAAGGUUUUUCUCCUAUGUGAAUGCGCUGAUGAACAAUAAGAUGGCUUUUUCGAGUGUAGUAUUUGUCACAUUCACUGCAUUUGUAAGGUUUUUCUCCUAUGUGAAUGCGCUGAUGAACAAUAAGAUGGCUUUUUCGAGUGUAGUAUUUGUCACAUUCACUACAUUUGUAGGGUUUUUCUCCAGCAUGAAUUUUCUGAUGAACAAUAAGAUGGCUUUUUCGAGUGUAGUAUUUGUCACAUUCACUACAUUUGUAAGGUUUCUCUCCUGUAUGAAUUCGUUGAUGAUCUCUAAGAUUGCCUUUCAGGGUAAAAGAUUUGUCACAUUCACUGCAUUUGUAAGGUUUCUCUCCUGUAUGAAUUGUCUGAUGACUUGUAAGACGCCAUUUCUUUGUAAAGCAUUUGUCACACUCACUACAUUUGUAAAGAUUUUCUCCUGUAUGAAUUCUCAGAUGAACUUUAAGACUGCCUUUGUGGGAAAAGCAUUUGUCACAUUCACUACAUUUGUAAGUUUUCUCUCCUGUAUGAAUUAUUUGAUGAAUGAUAAGACUGCAUUUUAGAGUAAAGCCUUUGUCACAUUCACUACAUCUGUAAGGUUUCUCUCCUGCAUGAAUUCUCUGAUGAAUACUAAGACUGCCUUUUUGGGUAAAGCUUUUGUCACAUUCACUACAUUUGUAAGGUUUCUCUCCUGUAUGAAUUCUCUGAUGUUUUCUAAGGUCACCAACUUGAAUGAAGCAUUUCUCACAUUCACUACAUUUGUAAGGUUUCUUGCCUGUAUGAUACACUUGAUGAAUGAUAAGACUGCAUUUUAGAGUAAAGCCUUUGUCACAUUCACUACAUUUGUACGGCUUCUCUCCUGUAUGAAUUCUCUGAUGAGUUCUAAGGUUGGUUUUGGAGCUAAAGCAUUUUUCACAUUCAUUACAUUUGUAAGGUUUCUCUCCUGUAUGAAUUCUCUCAUGUCUUCUAAGAUCACCAACUUGAAUGAAGCAUUUCUCACAUUCACUACAUUUGUAAGGUUUCUUGCCUGUAUGAUACAUCUGAUGAAUACUAAGACUGCCUUUGUGGGAAAAGCAUUUGUCACAUUCACUACAUUUGUAAGGAUUCUCUCCUGUAUGAAUUCUCUGAUGAGUUCUAAGGCUGCUUUUGUAGCUAAAGCAUUUUUCACAUUCAUUACAUUUGUAAGGUUUCUCUCCUUUAUGAAUUCUCUGAUGUUUUCUAAGAUCACCAACUUGAAUGAAGCAUUUCUCACAUUCACUACAUUUGUAAGGUUUCUUUACACUUUUGGUUUGUUUCAAUAUGAGGGUUUCUUUAGAGUCAAAAACCUUAUCAAGCUUUGCACCAUUGUAUUCUUUCUUUCCUAUGUUGAUUCCUUGAUUUAGACUAAUGGUAGAGCACAAAUUGAAACAGUUUACAUGGUUUUUAUCUUUGCAAGGUUCUCUGUUGUUUUCAGUUUCAUGUCUGCUUAGGUUUGAUGAUUCAACAGAUGUAGCCCUGAGGUUAGUUUUAGAAGGUGCACUUCCUGUGGACUCAUGGAUGAUUUUGUCAAGCUCAUGACAUUCAUAAGAUUUCACUUGGGUAUUUGCAUGUUCGUGGACAAUAUGCUGUAGAUCUUGAUUCAACAUGUUCUCAAAUUCAGGACACAUGUAUUGAUUCUCUG
rnacentral:lncRNA from 1 species